GUGCGCUCCCUGUAGCGCUGCGAUCAGCUUUUCGGCAAUACCCGGAUGGAAGUGUAAUGGCCGCCAUCAGGGACUCGCAGGCAAUGGGGACUACGACAGCUGGUGCUAGCAACUCACUACCCUCUCUGGCCUCUGGACCUAGCUUGAAGUUCUGGAUUAUUUCCUUCUUCCUUGUACCUCAGCCUGAGCCUUCUGUCACCCAAAGGGCUCCAGCUGGUUUUUCACUCAGGCCUCAUUUUAUCUUCCAAGAUGAAGGAACUAAGACACAGAGAUUGAGACUUGUCUAAAGUAACAUGACCAGUAAGUGCUUGAAUUAAUGGAGGUAGGUAGUGAUGGUUAUGUUCUAAUCUGCCAAGGGCUUUUCCUUGCUGUCAUCUGGUCUGAGUGCUAGGGAUAUAAAUCCAUAUAGCCAAAAUGGUAGGGAACAGGAAAGGUAGUAAGUAGAUGGACUUUGGGACUGCACCAGAAAAAAUGGUGCUAUUCUUUUAAAUUUUUUCCUU